rnacentral:rRNA from 1 species
AUUGAACGCUAGCGGCAGGCCUAACACAUGCAAGUCGAGCGAGCGGCGGACGGGUGAGUAAUGUCGAGGAAACUGCCUGCUGGAGGGGGAUAAGUGCUGGAAACGGUAGCUAAUCACGCAUCACAUCAGAUGAGCCAAGAUGGGAAUAGAGAGGAGGUGGGGUAACGGCGCACCUAGGCGACGAUCCCUAGCUGGUCUGAGAGGAUGACCAGCAACACUGGAACUGAGACAAGGCCCAGACUCCUACGGUAGGCAGCAGUGGGGAAGAUUGGACAAUGGGAGAAACCCUGAUGCAGCUAUGCCGCGUGUAUGAAGAAGGCCGUCGGGUUUUAAAGUACUUUCGGCUGGGAGGCGUUACCUGCAGAAGAAGCACCGGCUAACUCCGUGCCAGCAGCCGCGGUAAUAC